UUCAUGGAAACAUGCACCUAAAUUGCAGUGGCAACUUUCAAACAUCUUUAGAUUUCAUAUCUCUCAAAUUAGAAUUCAUAUGUACAGAAGAAUAGAGACAACCAACAAAUCAUCUCACAAGAUUUCACUACACUAGUCCCGUUGGACAUUAGAGUCUACUAGUGGAGAGCUGCUGGAUUGAGCCCCUUGAGAUUCAAUUGCACAGCACAGGUAUUACUAUUUAUCCUGGACUCGUUGCGCCUCUUGUCCUUCUUUAGAAACUGAAUGGUCCUCCCUUAAAAAAAACUGAAUGGUCCUCGAGAGGAGCAAACAACACCAACACAAAACGAGCUCAAUUACAACCAAGCGCCGCUACAAGGUCCAUCAGUCCGUCUUCUCGCCCUCCACAAGAUAAAACUUGCUCUCCCAUCUCCAGCAUAGAUUUUCUUCCCUUGAGCGGCGUCCUGUGGCAGCCUUUUCUUUUCUUCACAUAGAUAUGCUCUCCUGUAACAUUCAAAGAACUGCUGAGUCAGGUCUACCUCUAAUCAACACAACACAACACAAAUACAAAGAUGCAUGCUGACAUAAUAUUCAAAUAUGCUCUUCAGAUUGCACACCAGUCCAACAAGGACCCGUCGGUGAGUUGCAAAAAACCAAAAGCUGCUUCUACAAAUUGUAGACCAAGCUUCAGUUGAAAAACUACUGCCAAUUGCCUCUCAAGUAGUAAACAGAGACAUCUUUUUCAAACGCACAUCUUUGAGAAUCAUAAUAUUUUGAUCAAACAACAACAAAAAACAAAAGCUAUCUGCGUUAGCAACAAAGAACCAGCGUCACAUCUUAUCUUAUGCUGCUUGCAUCACAAAAUCCAACCACAAAACAUUUGGAAAAUCUAUCAACAUUAGCAUCAAAGAACCAGGAGAAAAUUCUCAGGAACCAUCGUAUGAGUUUGAAUACUGGCCCAAGCAUAGUAGACGAGCAAGUCACAGGAAGUAAACAAUGCAACACUAGUUCAUCAGAUCAACACUAGGGCAUACAUCAAGCAUGGAUCAAACCAACCCAGUCACAACAAUCAUCUCAAAGCUAGCAAAAAAAUCGCAUGCCAAAUAAUAUAUUUCAUCUUUCCGGAAUUACUUGUCGCUCAAAUGAAUAUAUCUCAAGUGAGCGACAAGUAAUUCCGGACGGAGGGAGUACUUGAUAAGUACACAAGUAUGUUGACCUAGCUACAACAGAGCCCUUUUGUAAAACUAAAACAUCAAAGAACCGGCGAGUUAGGUCUCUCUCUCUCUAAUCAACACACCACAACACAAGUACAAAGAUGCAUGCUGAGAUAAUAUUGCACUUCAGAUUGAACAACAGUAGCAAGGAGACGUUGGUGAGUUCCAAAAAGCCAAAAGCUUCUUCUAGAAAAUGUAGGCCAAGCUUCAAUUGAAAAACUACUGCCAAUUCACUCUCAAGUAGACCUAUAAACCAUCGCCAGCCUGGGAAUUAAUACAACUUCACCAAUCAUCAUAUAUUGACCAACCAACCACUAAAAACAAAAGCUAUCUAUGUGAACAUCAAAGAACCAGCAUCACAUCUGAUCUUAUGCUUCUUGCAUCACAAAAUCCAACCAAAAACAUUUGGAAAAUCUAUCUACAUGAACAUCAAAGAACCAGGAGAAAAAAACAUCUCAGGAACCAUUGUAUGAGCUAGAAUACUGGCCCAUAGAUGGGUGCGUGAAUUUAAAAACUCAUGAUCAUCCUGACCGGAGUUCUCUCCGACCCAGGAUCCAAUAUGGUUUCCUCCUGAUCAUCAGGCAACACAUGCACAAGCCACAAGAAGGCCAACAAAAAUGCAAAGUAAGCAACUCAUUGACACAUCACCGUUUUCGUGAUGAUAAGGUAUUACAUGUAAUAGCACCACUACCACAUAAGAACAGACUUAGGCUAUUAUCCUAGAUGAUUUCAUCCUAAAUAAUUAACAAACCACAACAAGUAGCACAAGGGCCUAACCAGAACAUCCAUUGGCAAGCGUGAUGGCAGCGGCCUCCACGAACCCAAGAACUUGGGUUCCUCGUCAAUCAAGCUUGUUUGGGCCUAAGAUUUGAAGGCGCUGUCAGCGGUGAGGAUAUCACGGCCAUUCCUCAGGUUGUCAAACACCCUCCUCCAGGGGAAUGUUCUCCUGCAGAAGUAGAGGGAUCAGCACGAAACAACAAAUGAGGGCAGCAGGGAUUGUGGAGGAGACAAUAGCACAACAUCCAGAUCUAAUCAAAUCAAACAACAUCCGAAAGGCACAUGAACAAACAAGGAGGAUCAGGUGAGGUAACAGUGCAAAUCACAAUCGUCACAUCAAUCACACAUGUGCUUGCUCCUAGUGCUUCACUUGACGAAACUUCAGACUAUUAUUAACACGAACAUAUGCUUGAUCUGACAAGUAACCAACCAAGUUCAGGUUUUUUGUUCCUGAGAAAUCUACUCAUAAAAGAACAAUGGUACUCGGAACAUAGCAUGCCAAGUAAUUUACAGUACUUCGUAAGUACGCAAGUCUGUUUACCAAAAAUGCUAGAACAGGGCCCUUUCAUAAAACUAAAACAUUUUAGAAAUUAGGCCUUCCAUAUCCAGAGACAGUGAACGAGCAAGCAGGCGGGAGAGACAAUUUGGCAUGAUAUGCAACCCGAUAGUGACACAAACAAAGCAUGAAUUCCAGUAGUGAACUACUAAAACAGUAAAGAUACGGCAUACUCGCCAUGCUGAAAGUGCAGUGGAUGUCCGUUACAUAAGCAGAAUUCCUGUCGAUCAAGAUUGCUUUUCACACAAGCACUUGACAGGAAAGGGAAGGAAGGAGAGAAGGAUAUACCUCGGCUAGGACCUCAUCUACGACCUGCAGCUCGUCAGGGAGGGGCCGGAGAUGCUACCACAAACUCCUCAUCCUCUAUGGAAGGCCAGCAAGAGGGCGCAGGUGGAGCCAAUGACGGCCCUUGUGGGUACAUACAAGAAACUGAGUUAAAUCAGUUUUAAGCCAACAACACAACAAACAAAUAGUUGAGAGCUUAAAGUAGGUAAUUAAGGUGACUGAUCAGUAGAGAUUCACUAGUACAUGAUACAUCAUCAAGCUAGCAACGGGGAAAAUAGGACAAACAUGUGUUCAAGUUCCAGCAACCUACUAUUUAUCUAUCUCUCCGGACAAAAUGUUAAACUUUAGUAUAGCAACACUGACCAGCCCCUGAAUAUUUCUGCCCGUUAAAGAAACAAAGUAGGUUCAUAGAGACUUGUUACCCUAAAAAAAUAGGUUCAUAGAGACUUGUAAUAAAGCCAGAAAUCAUCAGGUUAGGGAAUUAAACAUGGCAGCAAGCAUGUAGAACCAGCAAGCAGACAUGAGACAAACUAACAUGAUACGACAAAACAAAGCAUAGAUUCUAGUAGUGAACCUCUAAAACAGUAAAGAUACGACAAACUAGCCAUGUUGAAAUCAAUGUGAAGUGGCAGUCCAUUAAAUAAGCAGAUUUAUUUUUUAUCAAGAUUGCUUUUCACACAAGCACUUGACAGGAAGGAGAAGGAGAGGAGGGCAUACCUCCACUGGGACCUGGUCCACAACGUGCAGCUCAUCAGGAAGGGGUCGGAGAUGCUGUUGCUGCAAGCUCCCGGUCCUCUAUGGGCACAGGAACAAAACAGAAAAGAACAAUUGAGUGUGAGUGGCCUGUACUAAAAUGUUGAAUCAAGCAGGGUUAAAAAGACAUAUUUUUACUAUCCAUUUUUCAAGUGUGUUCUUGAUGCUUGCAUGGUCUCCAGGGUAGCACUACUGGAGAUCACAGGGCAAGGAGACGAACAUAUAUUAUUUGGAACAAACACUGAGCUCAAAAAGGCCUUUGGAUAAUGACGCCUAGAAAGCCUUCGAUAUGUGCAAGCAUCAAAACAAAACGGAACAGAAGCACGCAGAGGAAAGAAAUCCAAGAGACAAGCAAAAAAAAAUCCUACCUUGCUUUCAGAAUUCAACACAUCAAGCUUACGUACAUAAAAUGGCCCGCCACUGCUUUUACUAGUAAAAGCAGCAUGGCAGGCAACCAAGGACGACUUGACUUGGGUCUGGAUCCAUCCAUACGCACAUCAAAUGAAAUUGACGAAAUUUUCACAUCACAACAUGCAUGGUUGGCUAGCUCAUUGAUCAAGCAUACAACACCAAUAUAUACAAAAUGAUGAGUAAUUGAGCAGGACAAAGAGAGCAAAGGAUAUUAGAGAGAAUGCAAAUUGACCAAUAGAUUGUUUCCCUGAAUCAUCAAAACAAAAUGCUCAACCAUGAAUCAGAUUCGUUUCGAUUU
rnacentral:lncRNA from 1 species